GACGAACGCUGGCGGCGUGCUUAACACAUGCAAGUCGAACGCUGAAGCUCAGCUUGCUGGGUGGAUGAGUGGCGAACGGGUGAGUAACACGUGAGUAACCUGCCCUCUUCUUUGGGAUAACGCCCGGAAACGGGUGCUAAUACUGGAUAUUCACUGAUUCUCGCAUGGGGGUUGGUGGAAAGGUUUUUUCUGGUGGGGGAUGGGCUCGCGGCCUAUCAGCUUGUUGGUGGGGUGAUGGCCUACCAAGGCUUUGACGGGUAGCCGGCCUGAGAGGGUGACCGGUCACAUUGGGACUGAGAUACGGCCCAGACUCCUACGGGAGGCAGCAAUGGGGAAUAGUGCACAAUGGGCGAAAGCCUGAUGCAGCGACGCCGCGUGAGGGAUGGAGGCCUUCGGGUUGUAAACCUCUUUCGCUCAUGGUCAAGCCGCAGCUUUGGGUUGUGGUGAGGGUAGUGGGUAAAGAAGCGCCGGCUAACUACGUG
rnacentral:rRNA from 1 species